rnacentral:rRNA from 1 species
AUUGAACGCUGGCGGCAUGCCUUACACACGCAAGUCGAACGGUAACAGGUCUUCGGAUGCUGACGAGUGGCGAACGGGUGAGUAAUACAUCGGAACGUGCCUAUUAGUGGGGGAUAACUACUCGAAAGAGUGACUAAUACCGCAUGAGAUCUCCGGAUGAAAGCAGGGGAUCGCAAGACCUCGUUCUACUACAGCGGCCGAUGGGAGAUUAGGUAGUUGGUGGGAUAAAAGCGUACCAAGCCGACGAUCUGUAGCUGGUCUGAGAGGACGAUCAGCCACACUGGGACUGAGACACGGCCCAGACUCCUACGGGAGGCAGCAGUGGGGAAUUUUGGACAAUGGGCGAAAGCCUGAUCCAGCAAUGCCGCGUGCAGGAUGAAGGCCUUCGGGUUGUAAACUGCUUUUGUACGGAACGAAAAGCCCCGGGUUAAUACCCUGGGGUCAUGACGGUACCGUAAGAAUAAGCACCGGCUAACUACGUGCCAGCAGCCGCAGUAA